rnacentral:snoRNA from 1 species
CUGGAGAUGAUGCAUUAUUCAAGCCUGAUUACCCAUGAAGGCUCUUGUAUUCAUACUGUCUGAUCCAG